rnacentral:rRNA from 1 species
UGGGGAAUCUUGCGCAAUGGGCGAAAGCCUGACGCAGCCAUGCCGCGUGAAUGAUGAAGGUCUUAGGAUUGUAAAAUUCUUUCAGCAGGGACGAUAAUGACGGUACCUGCAGAAGAAGCCCCGGCUAACUUCGUGCCAGCAGCCGCGGUAAUACGAAGGGGGCUAGCGUUGCUCGGAAUUACUGGGCGUAAAGGGCGCGUAGGCGGGUCGUUUAGUUAGAGGUGAAAGCCCAGGGCUCAACCCUGGAAUUGCCUUUAAUACUGGCGGCCUUGAGUAUGGCAGAGGUGUGUGGAACUCCGAGUGUAGAGGUGAAAUUCGUAGAUAUUCGGAAGAACACCAGUGGCGAAGGCGACACACUGGGCCAUUACUGACGCUGAGGCGCGAAAGCGUGGGGAGCAAAC